rnacentral:rRNA from 1 species
GAUGAACGCUGGCGGCGUGCCUAAUACAUGCAAGUCGAGCGAACAGACGAGGAGCUUGCUCCUCUGACGUUAGCGGCGGACGGGUGAGUAACACGUGGAUAACCUACCUAUAAGACUGGGAUAACUUCGGGAAACCGGAGCUAAUACCGGAUAAUAUAUUGAACCGCAUGGUUCAAUAGUGAAAGACGGUUUUGCUGCCACUUAUAGAUGGAUCCGCGCCGCAUUAGCUAGUUGGUGAGGUAACGGCUUACCAAGUCGACGAUGCGUAGCCGGCCUGAGAGGACAAACGGCCACACUGGGAAGGAGACACGGACCAGACUCCGACGGGAGGCAGAAGUGGGGAAUUUUGGACAAGGGGAGAAAGCCGGAGGAAGAAAGGCCGGGGGAAGGAAGAAGGACUUCGGAUUGAAAAACGCUGUUGUAAGGAAAGAAAAGAUUAGAAAUAAAAAACGCGGGUAAUGACGGUACCAAAAGAAAAAGCACCGGCAAAAUACGUG